CCUACGGGAGGCAGCAGUGGGGAAUAUUGGGCAAUGGGGGCAACCCUGACCCAGCGACGCCGCGUGAAGGAAGAAGGCUUUCGGUUUGUAAACUUCUUUCCGCAGGGACGAAGCAAGUGACGGUACCUGACGAAGAAGCCCCGGCUAACUACGUGCCAGCAGCCGCGGUAAUACGUAGGUGGCAAGCGUUAUCCGGAUUUACUGGGUGUAAAGGGCGGGUAGGCGGGAAAGCAAGUCAGAUGUGAAAACCGGGGGCUCAACCUGUGGCCUGCUUUUGAAACUGUUUUGCUUGAGUACUGGAGAGGCAGGCGGAAUUCCUAGUGUAGCGGUGAAAUGCGUAGAUAUUAGGAGGAACACCAGUGGCGAAGGCGGUCUGCUGGACAGCAACUGACGCUGAGGCGCGAAAGCGUGGGGAGCAAACAGGAUUAGAUACCCGGGUAGUC
rnacentral:rRNA from 1 species